rnacentral:misc_RNA from 1 species
GUCGUAACAAGGUUUCCGUAGGUGAACCUGCGGAAGGAUCAUUACCACACCGAUCCACGAUCUUUCUUACCGCGAAGCGUGGUCCCGUUGGAAGCUAGUGGGUGUUGGUGGGAUGGAGUGCCUGUAUGUACAGGUGCUCCGUGUUGCCGCCCGCUGGUGGGACCACAACAUAAAGUGCUGCCAAUCUACCUGCAAGGGAUUCGGUUGGUGGCGCGCACCGUCACUUUUACGACGAUCACCGGUCUUGACCCAAACGAACUGAACCAAAAGGGUUGUUGUCGCUGUGUGCGUCAUGCGCAUCGUGACAGCAGCUCACCAAAGUAAAUCACUUACAACUUUCAGCGAUGGAUGUCUAGGUUCCCA